CAGUAGCCACGGGAAUACAGAGGGUGCAAGCGUUAAUCGGAAUUACUGGGCGUAAAGCGCGCGUAGGUGGUUUGUUAAGUUGGAUGUGAAAGCCCCGGGCUCAACCUGGGAACUGCAUCCAAAACUGGCAAGCUAGAGUACGGUAGAGGGUGGUGGAAUUUCCUGUGUAGCGGUGAAAUGCGUAGAUAUAGGAAGGAACACCAGUGGCGAAGGCGACCACCUGGACUGAUACUGACACUGAGGUGCGAAAGCGUGGGGAGCAAACAGGAUUAGAUACCCCUGUAGUCCCUGUCUCUUAUAA
rnacentral:rRNA from 1 species